UACAUGGGGUGCAAACGUUGCUCGGAAUUAUUGGGCGUAAAGCGCACGUAGGUGGUCUGUUAUGUCAGAUGUGAAAGCCCUCGGCUUAACUGAGGAAGUGCACCUGAAACUGGCAGGCUUGAGUACGAAAGAGGGUCGCGGAAUUCCCGGUGUAGAGGUGAAAUUCGUAGAUAUUCGCAAGAACACCAGUGGCGAAGGCGGCUCACUGGCCCGAUACUGACGCUGAGGUGCGAAAGCGUGGGGAGCAAACAGG
rnacentral:rRNA from 1 species